rnacentral:rRNA from 1 species
AUGACAGCUUCGCAGAGUUCAAUAGCGAGUGUGCCGUCGAGGUGCACAGCAGAGACGGCGCGGGGCACGGUUGCGUUCAAGAUCGCCGGCUACAGCCUGCACAAGGGCCUCGGUAUAGGCAAAUGGCUCCGUUCUCCGUCAUUCUCCAUCGGCGGCUACGAGUGGUGCAUCUACUACUACCCCGACGGAUACCAAGAAGAGAAUAGCACAGGUCACGUCUCCAUCCUCCUCAGGCUCUUGACCAAGAACGCCAAGGUGAGGGUGCUCCACAAGUUGAUGCUUGUGGAGCCGGUUAGUGGGCGGUCGAUUGUGGUGAACUCCUGCAAAACGCCUAAAGUGUUCGACGAUAAAAUGUCUUGGGCCGUACCAAAGUUCAUGAAGACGACCGCUGAAGUAGAGUCGGUGUACCUGCAGAACGAUUGUCUCCUGAUCGAGUGUGAACUCAGUGUUAUCAAGGAAACUGAGAUCCAUGUGCCGCCCUCUGACCUUUCGGAUAAUCUUGCAACCUUGCUAGAGGGGAAGAUAGGAGCAGAGGUGACUUUCAAGGUUCAAGGGGAGGUUUUUUCCGCUCAUAAGAUUUUGCUUGCAAUGCGAUCGGCGGUCUUCAACGCACAGUUCUAUGGGCCGAUGAGGGACAAGGGGGCACAUGACAUAACUAUUGAUGACAUGCAGUCUGCUGUUUUCAAGUCAUUUCUUCACUUCAUCUACACUGAUUCAAUGCCUUCCAUGGACGAUCUCGAGGAUGAUGACAAAAGAGAAAUGGUUAAACACUUACUGGUGGCUGCAGAUAAGUAUGCAAUGGGAAGGAUGAAGAUGAUAUGUGAAGGCAUGAUAUGCAAGAGUCUUGAUGUUGAGAAUGUGGCGACUCUAUUAGCUCUAGCUGACAAGCACAAUUGCAGAAAUCUCAAAGAUGCUUGCAUUGAAUUUAUGCUCUCUUCGAAUAGAAUGAAUGAUGUGAUUGCAAGCCAAGGGUAUGUACAACUCAAAAGAUCUUCGCCUGAUAUCAUUGUGGAUGUGUUGGAGAGAGCAGCUAAAUCCCGCAAAAUUUAG